CUUGACAUGUGACCGUUUCUAUGAUACCGCGCGCGCACACACACACAGGCAACAUGGCGUUCCUUCACUGGAGUUGCCAGGCCUUGACAAAAUAGAUAGGAUCCUUAGGAUAUCCACAGUAUACACCUAGCAUUAGUGUACAGCAGUCCACUUUGCUGAUGGCGACUAGUCAACGACUCUGUCUUUAUCCACCCCAGGCCUGUUUCACUGAGAACCUCAUCACAGAGGGACAUGUCUAUUCUAAAAUACAAUACAUUUCUAUCUGAAGAUUCUACAACAUACCCGACUGAAUAUGACCCUUAGAUCUAGCCUACGGUUUGGCUCAGCUCCUCCCUGUAUUCCCCCCUUCCCCCCCCAUCUCUGCCUAUGUGCGUGAGCUGCUGGGGAUUUCAGAGCCGAUGUGGAGGCACAGCAUCGCAGAUCCCCCCCAGAGACAGCAUGGGCCUUUUCCUGGAGAAGAAGAGCAGGACAGGGGACUGGGACGACUCCUUCACCUACAAACAGCUCCUCAACGACAGGAAACAGUGAAUGGGAUUUGGUGUCUGAUAAAAGAAACGUGAAUGGAUUAAAUGUCUGUCAGUGUGUUGUUGGUAAGAAUCAGAAUCACCUUUCUAGAAUUUUACUUGGUGAUGUGCUACGAGCAAUAGACAACAGAUAGAAUACAGACAGAGGAAUUUACACAAAGUUUAUGUACAUUAUAUACAAAAUAGAUAAAGUAUGCAUAGAACUGUACAGUAAGAGAAUUUACAGAGAGGAUUUACAAAUGUACAUUAUAAAUAUAUAUGUGCAGAGGUAAGAAUGCUCUGUGAUGUAGUGCAACAACAGGUGCCUAUGUACAGUUUAUAUGCAGUGUUAAUGUGCAGAGCUGAACAGAGUGCAAUUAUGGUAGUGCGGUUAUUAUAUGUGCAGUUCGAAGAUGGCUUGAUGCAGUGCGCAGCAGAGAGUGCAUAGUCCCUUAGUUUCUGUGGACCAGAUGGCCAACUGGUGAGGAACACAGCAUGGGGAAAGAAACUGUUUAGCUGUCAGGUUGUUUUGGUCAUGAUUGCCCUGAACCGUUUACCAGAGGGGAGUGUUUGGAAGAGGGGGUGUCUGGGGUGGGCGGGG